AGAAUUUUCCUCGUCUUACAUUAUAAAUAACUGAAUGUUUGUCAUCUGAGGCUGUAUUAUAAUGGGAUUGGCAUUUUCUACCUUUUUAAUGUUUUGUAGACCAACUGAUUGAUUAUUCAAAAUAAUAAUCAGCAGAUGAAUUAGUUGCAGCCCUAGAUGUAAAAGCUCUUAAUGAACAAUCAGCCAGCUCAAGUUUGGCUACACAUUACCUCCUCACUCAAACAAAGUGUCCAGUGGCAGCACUACACCUACUGAAAUAUACUGCAGCUAAACAGUAAACAGAUUCUAAAAACUUUUUCAGUCUUUAUCCAAACAGUUUUGAUCUGUUUUAAGGCAAGACAGCAUACGAUUGCUGCUUUUAAUGCAACACAGAAGGAGAAGUAGUUGUCAGACGUUUCCGAUCGAUGGCCAUUUGGGAAGGAAAGAAAAAUGGAGGGAAGGGAAGGAAGAAGGAAGACUGCUGUUAACUGUGAAACACUGGUGCUUAAUCUCAUUAUACCAAUUGUCUAUGGGGGAGAAUUAGAGUGGGAUCUGCAGGAAUUAGACAUGUUGGGGUUGUACAUAAUGAGCUCUAUGUAAUCCCCCCACUUGCAAUCAAAGGCAGCCAGAGAGUACCAGCCAGCACACACAUGUAGACAUGCACAUAAACACAUACACACACUCUUCUUGUGCCUUUUAAGGAGUGCUGCCAUUGAAAGCCACAGACGAGCCUGACAGUCAUCGUUUUGAAAUGAGCGGCUGCAAUUGAGUGUUAACAGCGCGCGAAGUGCCAAAUUACACAGAGUGGGGGAUUAACGGCAGAAACGGACAGAUAAAUGAACAGGAGAGUGAGGGAGAGCGAGGGAGAGAGAGAGGCAGGAAGAAAAAGACAGGGGAGAAAGAGACGCAAACUGUCGAAGUGAAGAGAAGUGCUCAGUAAUGAAUGAGAGGCAAGUGAAGGAUUUGGCUUAGAGCAAAAGAGUCUGUGAAUUGAUGUGGCACUGUAAAAGGAAAAAUGGGAAAAAAGCACAAAGUGCUGAAAGGAUUCACAGACCACAUAGAUGUUACAGCACCACCCUGUGGGAGAAAUAAAGCAACUAGCCAUCAACUCAAACUGUUGUUGCUUUUAAGCAUCAAUUAAUGUCUGAACCAGGGUCGAGCGGUGUGUGUGACUUACUCAGUGUGUCCCUGGAAGACGUUGACAGAGUGGAUGGACGGGUCUCUGAAGUCCCACAGUCGGAAGGUGGUGUCUCUGGAUGAAGUGACCACCAGACGCUGGGUAGGGUGGGUACAGCAGUGGGUCAGCUCCUGGUCAUGUCCUGCAUACACAGACAGCCAAGAGGAGUCCACUUAAUUUUGUACAAUCAAAUAAAUUUAAUUAUUAAUUAUUAACAUAAAUGAUGUUUCACAGAUUUGUCUAUACCUUCUUAAAGGAAUAAUUGAUUUGUUUUCUUGAUUCCAACGUCUAUACGUUAAACCAUGUAGUGUCUGUCAUUUUUAGAUUUUUUUAUUGAGCAUUAGAGGAGCGGGUAGCUUUAGGCUGUAUCUUCAUUUUUAGCAUUCAGCCAUGACAGUGGACAUGGACUACAUUCAUUUCAUAGUGUAGUCACACUAAGUAUAGGAAACAGGGGUUUCUUCCUGUUCAGUUAGGGAACGAAAACAACAAUAGCCAAUCACAUAAAAUGAACAACCACGCCAUUUUGUCUACCAUUUGCGCUUAGUUACAUGUUAACUUUUCACUGAAUGCUACAAAGACUUUUUAGGUCUUUUCAGGAACUUCAAACCAUUGUACACAUCAAAUGAUUUAAAUGAGAUGAAGCACUGGCCUAACAUGCUGUGUGUUUCUGUUAAUUUGGGAGUGACCAGUAAUUUAGGAUCGAGUACUAGAAAAUAUCUAAUAGAAAUACACAAUAGUAUGAAAUGGCAAAAUAUAUACCUGCUGAGCAAAAUGACAGAGGAGGAAGAUCAUGACAGAACAAAUAAUUAAUGAAAAAUAUGAACAAGACAUAAAUAAAUAAAAAAUAACAUCCAAAUGUAUACAUACCAGAAGAUAACGAACAUGUAUACCAGAAGAUGAAGGUAACAGACACCAUAUUGUGCUAUACUAUAAUAUAAUGUCUCAGGCAGUUUACAUACCAGUGAGUGUGUGAACCAGUUCAGACGUCUCCACCUCAUACAGGUUGGCAGCACGAUCCCAGGAAGCUGUCACCACUUGUCGGCCUCCCACCAACCAAUCAGCUGCGAUCACUACACCCUGGUGGCUCUUCAGGGUUCCUGUAGGGACCCGGACGGUGGGGACCUCGCCAGGGCCUUCACCAUCCACCUCACCUUCUUCUCUGUCUGAUGAGUCCUGGUCGUCGUCACAUAGAGCCUAUGAGUGUACAAAGAAGGACACACAACAGUUCAGUCAAUGCAAACAGAUGCUGGCAGUGAUACAGGAUAACCGCUACUUAAUUUUCCAAGUAAAAGUAAAAUGACCUAUUUGUAAAUGUACUUAAUAUUCACUGACUAUAUAAAUUUAAUAAAUCAUCUGACAGGAAUACACCUCUGAGAACUCCACAACAUCCCAGGAUAUUCCAGUAGAAACUCUGGGAAGAGAACAGUACACAGCUACUCACACUGACAUCUGGUGGUGGCUGGGGGACAGGAAGCUGCACCAUGUAGCGCCAGAUGUGUGCUGUCUGGUCUCCAGAGGCUGUGGAAACACGUCAACAAACACACGCAGGACAUUCAGAUCUACAAGAAAAUUCACUACAGGCAGGGAGAAGAUGCUGAAAUAGUCAUGAAGGGGAAUUAUUACCUGAUCCUGCAUGGCCAGCAUACCUCAGCAGACAUUUGCCAGUCUCUAUGCUCCACAGCAGAGCGGAGUGAUCUGUCAGGGGAGAGCAGGGGUGGACAGCAUGAAGCCAUUCACGUUUUACAUAGUGAUAAGAGGCGGUUCCCAGGACCACUGGCUGAGUUCGGGUGAUGCUGAGGUCCCAGAUGCCGUCCCGGUGGCCCACAUACUCCUUGAGCAGCUGGCACAAAGCCCGGGACCCUGUGGUGGCUUUAAAACUGGACACAAUCUGAGCAGGGAAGAAAGAGAAGUGGGCAUGAUGGAGAAAAACGACAUAGGGAUGAACUGCUGUACCAAAGAAGUAAAAUUAAAGAAAGUACAGGUGCACCAAGAAGGUUUUUAGAACUCAUGGGAAUGCUGAUUACUUGACAAAAUAAACUCAUACAUAUACCAGCAUAUCUAAGACUUAACUUACUAAUGCCUUGCUACAUGGCCUACUGUGGAACAGUUACAUCAACACAUG